AUUAGCAAAAUAAGGUAACUACACUAUCACGAAAGAGAAUGAGCUAAACAAAUAUAGUAUAUGUAAUACGUGGUAUAGUAUUAUAUUAAUGUGUGUUUAGGGGUGAUAGGCCUAUCAAGUUCUUUGAUAACUUGGUUCAUAUGAAAAGUAUUAAGUACAAAAACAAACUUAAAAAGUUAAGCUUUUAAGUAAUUAUUAAAAACAUUCUAUAUGUUAAAUAUAGUUUAAUAGCUAGUUAAUUUAAAACUAAAUAUUACUCCUGUGUUUUUAUAGUAAAUAAUAUGAUGACUUAGUUUAUUUUCCGGUUUAAAAAUGUUAAUAUUAGUAUUUUUUAAAAAUAUGCUAAAGGAACUCGGCAAAUAACCGCUCAACUGUUUAUCAAAAACAUAGCUAUAUGGAAUAAUAUAUAGUUAUUUCUGCUCCAUGAACAUUAAAUAGCCGCAGUACCCUGACUGUGCAAAGGUAGCAUAAUCAGUUGGCUUUUAAUUAAAGUCUGGUAUGAACGAAAAUAUGGGUGGUAGCUGUCUCUAGCAUACUAGUUUAAACUUACUUAGCAAGUGCAAAUACUUGCAAACUUCAAAAAGACGAGAAGACCCUAGAAACUUAAAUAAGUUUUUGUUGGGGCGACAGAAUUACAGUUAACUAAUUUUAAAGACAUGACACGCAGUUGAAAGAAUAAGUUACUCUAGGGAUAACAGCAUAAUUUUAAUAGUUUGUGACCUCGAUGUUGGAUUAGGUAUUGUAUCCUUAAGGCAAGGAUAAAAGAAGCUCUGUUCGAGCAGUCUCACCUACAUGAUCUGAGUUCAGACCGG
rnacentral:rRNA from 1 species